rnacentral:rRNA from 1 species
UACGUAGGGUGCGAGCGUUACUCGGAAUUACUGGGCGUAAAGUGUGCGCAGGCGGCCGCGCAAGUCGAGUGUGAAAGCCCCGAGCUUAACUUGGGAACUGCGCUCGAAACUACGUGGCUGGAGUGUGGCAGAGGAAGGUGGAAUUCCAGGUGUAGCGGUGAAAUGCGUAGAGAUCUGGAGGAACACCGAUGGCGAAGGCAGCCUUCUGGGCCAACACUGACGCUCAUGCACGAAAGCGUGGGGAGCAAACAGG